CAUGACAGUCUAGAGUUUGGUUACAGCUCUCCAAAUCUCCAUGAUGACUGUCUCACAGCCCCCUGCAUUUCGCAAAGUGCUGAUAAAAUACAUAUAUAUACAACCAAUUUAGUAUGUCAAACUCGCGCUGAUCUUCGAGCCAAAUUCUCAAACGAUUCCUUCUGUUCAAAGCAUUGCAAAAUGAGCAUUGAACCAAACAAACUCACUCCUUUUAACAAGCCGAGAAGCCAAACAAAAAAUGGAUUCAAUCUCAGCUGUGCAGUAAUAGUUGCUCAUCUUGGCCGCCAAAUGCUUGAAGCUCUACUUGACACUGGAAUUGCACUUUCAGGUGGUGGUCUAAAUGGCAUGAAGUUCCUGUGAUGCAUCCCCCCAGCAGGAAAUGACCAUCCCUGAUGAGGUAU
rnacentral:misc_RNA from 1 species